CUACAGGCUUAACACAUGCAAGUCGAGGGGCAUCAGGAAGAAAGCUUGCUUUCUUUGCUGGCGACCGGCGCACGGGUGAGUAACACGUAUCCAACCUGCCCUUUACUCGGGGAUAGCCUUUCGAAAGAAAGAUUAAUACCCGAUAGCAUAAUGAUUCCGCAUGGUUUCAUUAUUAAAGGAUUCCGGUAAAGGAUGGGGAUGCGUUCCAUUAGGUUGUUGGUGAGGUAACGGCCCACCAAGCCUUCGAUGGAUAGGGGUUCUGAGAGGAAGGUCCCCCACAUUGGAACUGAGACACGGUCCAAACUCCUACGGGAGGCAGCAGUGAGGAAUAUUGGUCAAUGGGCGCUAGCCUGAACCAGCCAAGUAGCGUGAAGGAUGAAGGCUCUAUGGGUCGUAAACUUCUUUUAUAUAAGAAUAAAGUGCAGUAUGUAUACUGUUUUGUAUGUAUUAUAUGAAUAAGGAUCGGCUAACUCCGUGCCAGCAGCCGCGGUAAUACGGAGGAUCCGAGCGUUAUCCGGAUUUAUUGGGUUUAAAGGGAGCGUAGGUGGACUGGUAAGUCAGUUGUGAAAGUUUGCGGCUCAACCGUAAAAUUGCAGUUGAUACUGUCAGUCUUGAGUACAGUAGAGGUGGGCGGAAUUCGUGGUGUAGCGGUGAAAUGCUUAGAUAUCACGAAGAACUCCGAUUGCGAAGGCAGCUCACUGGACUGCAACUGACACUGAUGCUCGAAAGUGUGGGUAUCAAACAGGAUUAGAUACCCUGGUAGUCCACACAGUAAACGAUGAAUACUCGCUGUUUGCGAUAUACAGUAAGCGGCCAAGCGAAAGCAUUAAGUAUUCCACCUGGGGAGUACGCCGGCAACGGUGAAACUCAAAGGAAUUGACGGGGGCCCGCACAAGCGGAGGAACAUGUGGUUUAAUUCGAUGAUACGCGAGGAACCUUACCCGGGCUUAAAUUGCAGUGGAAUGAUGUGGAAACAUGUCAGUGAGCAAUCACCGCUGUGAAGGUGCUGCAUGGUUGUCGUCAGCUCGUGCCGUGAGGUGUCGGCUUAAGUGCCAUAACGAGCGCAACCCUUAUCUUUAGUUACUAACAGGUUAUGCUGAGGACUCUGGAGAGACUGCCGUCGUAAGAUGUGAGGAAGGUGGGGAUGACGUCAAAUCAGCACGGCCCUUACGUCCGGGGCUACACACGUGUUACAAUGGGGGGUACAGAAGGCAGCUAGCGGGUGACCGUAUGCUAAUCCCAAAAGCCUCUCUCAGUUCGGAUCGAAGUCUGCAACCCGACUUCGUGAAGCUGGAUUCGCUAGUAAUCGCGCAUCAGCCACGGCGCGGUGAAUACGUUCCCGGGCCUUGUACACACCGCCCGUCAAGCCAUGGGAGCCGGGGGUACCUGAAGUACGUAACCGCAAGGAUCGUCCUAGGGUAAAACUGGUGACUGGGGCUAAGUC
rnacentral:rRNA from 1 species